AGCAGUCACUAUGUUUUACUGACGCUGAUGGACGAAAGCGUGGGGAGCGAACAGGAUUAGAUACCCUGGUAGUCCACCCCGUAAACGAUGCUAACUCGUUUUUGGGUUUUCGGAUUCAGAGACUAAGCGAAAGUGAUAAGUUAGCCACCUGGGGAGUACGUUCGCAAGAAUGAAACUCAAAGGAAUUGACGGGGGCCCGCACAAGCGGUGGAUUAUGUGGUUUAAUUCGAUGAUACGCGAGGAACCUUACCAAGGCUUAAAUGGGAAUUGACAGGUUUAGAAAUAGACUUUUCUUCGGACAAUUUUCAAGGUGCUGCAUGGUUGUCGUCAGCUCGUGCCGUGAGGUGUUAGGUUAAGUCCUGCAACGAGCGCAACCCCUGUCACUAGUUGCCAUCAUUCAGUUGGGGACUCUAGUGAGACUGCCUACGCAAGUAGAGAGGAAGGUGGGGAUGAAGUCCAAAUCAUCACGGCCCUUACGCCUUGGGCCACACACGUAAUACAAUGGCCGGUACAGAGGGCAGCUACCUAGCGAUAGGAUGCGAAUCUCGAAAGCCGGUCUCAGUUCGGAUUGGAGUCUGCAACUCGACUCUAUGAAGCUGGAAUCGCUAGUAAUCGCGCAUCAGCCAUGGCGCGGUGAAUACGUUCCCGGG
rnacentral:rRNA from 1 species